rnacentral:SRP_RNA from 1 species
GCCGGGCGUGGUGGUGCUCGCCUGUAGUCCAUGCUACACAGGAGGCUGAGGCAAGAGGAUCGCUUGAGCCCGUAAGGUCGGGGCUGCAGUGAGCCAAGAUGGCACCACUGCACUCCUGCCUAGGCAAGAGAGUGAGACCCUGUCUCGA